GGGCCGGGCCGGCACCGCAGUCUCCGCACGACCCGACGCACUUCCUCCCGCCCCAAGGACGCCGCAGCCGGUUGGGUAGCUGCGCGAGUCGGCCAUAAGGACGGGCACCGGAAGGUGGCCAGUGGCGUUCCUCGUGUUCGUCGCUGGUCGUUAUCCAGCCCGCCCGUGGCGCGACACCCGACCGAGGUCGAUGGGUCCCGGUUAGGACCUUGCCGUCCCCUCCCCCGUGGUAGAGCGGGCGUUCCAGCAGGCGAUUCCCCUUGCGGCCGUCCCACUCUCCGAGUGGCCGGCCCUCGGGUGGCGCCGUUGGCGAGGAUGCGUCCCGCGUGGGGUUCGGAAGGCUUGCGGCGAGUAGGUCGGUCACCCACCCGACCCGUCUUGAAACACGGACCAAGGAGUCUAACAUGUGCGCGAGUCACGGGGUCUUGUUCAGGCCCAGAGGCGCAAUGAAAGUGAAGGCCGGCCUCGACGCCGGCCGUGUUGGGACUCUCC
rnacentral:rRNA from 1 species